AUCCCACAUCAAAACACAGGACUAAUCCUCAAACAGGGAGCUGAUAGCAGAUACCAGGAACUCACCCUUUAUGGCUGAGAUUCUCGAACUAAGGAAUUUAAAGCCAAGCUAAUACCAUUUGAAAGGUGAUGAAAGUUAGGACUUCGAUGAAAUGUACUUGAUUUAAGACACGUAAACUAUUGCCAAGUGAAUUCUGACGAGACUUCCCCAAAGCCUCCAGGUAAAAAAAAAAUGAAAGAGGGACUAAAACCAAGUAAAAUUUCAAAUAUAAUUGAAGAUUGCCAUUAAAACUGAUGUGUUCCUAAUGAACUCAACAUCGGAGUCGGACGUGAUAGAGGGAAGCCAGCUGCCAUGUUGUGAGUGCCUUAUGGAGAAGUCCUCAUGGCAAGACAUUUAGGUCUCCAGUCAACAGCCACCUGAGUGAGACUGGAGAUGGUGGCAGCCCCCAGCUGGCACCUGAGAGACUCUGAGUCAGAAGCACUCAGUUAAGCCACACCCAGAUUCUUGACUCAUAGAACUUGUGAGAUAAUAAAUGUUUGUUGUUUUAA